AGCUGAGAUCGUGCCACUGCACCCCAGCCUGGGUGAGAGAACAAGACUCCAUCUCAAAGAAAACAAAACAAAACAACAACAACAACAAAAACCCACAGUGAUUGUGGUUGGUCUACUAGGUAUCAAGACUUCUUAUAUAAUGUAGAAAUUGCAAAGUAGUGAACCAAGGAAAGCAUGAUUGAUUAUAUUAAAUCCAGAUUUGAGAGUUCAUUCUUCCAGAAAAUAUUUAUAGUCUAUCUACUAUAUUCUAAGCACUGUACCUAGCAGUUAGGGAUCCAGUUUUUAAAUUCUACGUUUUAGAGUUAAUGCACAUUCUGUAGUGAACGGGUACAUUCGUUUGUCACUGUCUGCAUUGUCCUUUGUAUAGAGCAAAUCAAAACUCCGAUUUGGUGAUCCUGACUUUUAUAUUUUCCCUGAUUUUAGAAGAGUUUUUAUACCCCCCACCCGCAAUCCCCAGAGUAAAAGUUCAUCUGGAUUACUGGGUCUUGCUUAGGUAAUUUUAACCACUGCUUGCUGCUACUGCAGUCUAUCAUGUAGGCCACUGCUCUCCUAAAACAACUCAAAUCCUGUCACUUCAGACACCUUCUGUGGCAUCCUGCCUUCCACAGUCAGCUCCAGCCUGUGCCCCAGCCUCACCUUCAGUCAAUCUCACCUCACACUUGCCUCGGUAGCUGUUCCGUUCCCACCCCUGGGGCUUUGCUUAUGCUUUCGCCUUGAUUCUGGAAGCCCUCAAGCACUCACCCUUUCCCUUUAUCUACCUGUAGAAAUCCCACUUCUUUCUGUGUUCACUCAGCUCAGUUGGGAAGCAUUUGCAGUGGUUUCAUUUUGCUUUGUAUUACAUAUUUCACCCUGCUGGUUCCAGAUUCUAAGCACAGGUUUUACAUGUAUGUUCUUAGCAAACAUAUAAACGGAGAGAUCCAGUUGAUCAAAAUAGCUGUAAAACAAUGCGGAACGGAGAGAUUGUCUCCCCAGAACAUUUUCUUUGAGAUCUCUGCCUUCAUGAACACAAGGGUGCAGGAUAUCAGACAUGUGAAUGCACAGGGCCACGAUUCUUAAUUAAAUGACUCCAUGAGAGAAAAAUGAGAAGAGUUCAACAUUGGACUGGAUAGCCAAAGACCUUGAGAUGGAAAAGAGUGAGGAUAUAAAGAAUGGCAAACCCACUAAGGAAAGAGGUGAAAAGUGAGGCAAGGGAGGUGCCCAGGGCUUAGCCGUUAGAACUAGUUGUGCUCAGAAGCCAUUAAAGAGAUUCCAGCAGGAGAGGACCCACGGUCCAGUCCAUUUUUCAAAGAAGUAAGGUAACCUACUUUCAUGUUAUAUAGCUAGUCAGUAGGAAGACUUAGAUUCAGCUUGUAGUUUUUUAAAGACACAUAACUGAUUCAGAAAAUUAGAUAAGUUAAAUUUUUAGAUCUGCUCAGAAAUAUCAAAAGUAUAUCAUAUAAAUAUAUCUCCCAUUAUGUAUUUUGGUAAUCUCUUUGGCUGGUUCAGCCUUCUGCAAACUGAGCUGUUGAUCUUGCAAGAUCAUUCUCAUGCCGAGCUAUUUCAUUUUUUUUCCCAGCAACUCAUAAAAUUAUUUUCUCCUUUUUUUUAAAUUUUAGGUUGAAUGCAAUUCCCGCCUGAACCCUGUAAACGCAACUUUGCUAAAGAUGGCAGACUGUGGGGGACUGCCCCAGGUAGUUCAGCCUGGGAAGCUCACCGAGGCCUUCAAGUACUUUUUGCAGGGAAUGGGCUACAGUGAGUAGUAUACAACUUUCUAUCUAGCAACAAUUUAGGAUUAUUGGGGGCCAGUUUCACAUCUGGGAGCCCAC